rnacentral:rRNA from 1 species
CCUACGGGAGGCAGCAGUGGGGAAUAUUGGACAAUGGGCGAAAGCCUGAUCCAGCCAUGCCGCGUGUGUGAAGAAGGCCUUCGGGUUGUAAAGCACUUUCAGUGGGGAAGAAAGCCUUGGGGCUAAUACCCUCGAGGAAGGACAUCACCCACAGAAGAAGCACCGGCUAACUCCGUGCCAGCAGCCGCGGUAAUACGGAGGGUGCGAGCGUUAAUCGGAAUUACUGGGCGUAAAGCGCGCGUAGGCGGUCUGUUAAGCCGGUUGUGAAAGCCCCGGGCUCAACCUGGGAACGGCAUCCGGAACUGUCAGGCUAGAGUGCAGGAGAGGAAGGUAGAAUUCCCGGUGUAGCGGUGAAAUGCGUAGAGAUCGGGAGGAAUACCAGUGGCGAAGGCGGCCUUCUGGACUGACACUGACGCUGAGGUGCGAAAGCGUGGGUAGCAAACAGGAUUAGAUACCCUAGUAGUC